AUUGAACGCUGGCGGCAUGCCCUACACAUGCAAGUCGAACGGCAGCACGGGAGCAAUCCUGGUGGCGAGUGGCGAACGGGUGAGUAAUGUAUCGGAACGUGCCCAGUCGUGGGGGAUAACGUAGCGAAAGCUACGCUAAUACCGCAUACGAUCUAUGGAUGAAAGCGGGGGACCGUAAGGCCUCGCGCGAUUGGAGCGGCCGAUAUCAGAUUAGGUAGUUGGUGGGGUAAAGGCCUACCAAGCCGACGAUCUGUAGCUGGUCUGAGAGGACGACCAGCCACACUUGAGCUGAGACACGGCCCAGACUCCUACGGGAGGCAGCAGUGGGGAAUUUUGGACAAUGGGCGCAAGCCUGAUCCAGCAAUGCCGCGUGCAGGAUGAAGGCCUUCGGGUUGUAAACUGCUUUUGUACGGAGCGAAAAGGCUCUCUCUAAUACAGGGGGCUCAUGACGGUACCGUAAGAAUAAGCACCGGCUAACUACGUGCCAGCCGCCGCCGUAAUAC
rnacentral:rRNA from 1 species